UAAGUUAUUAAGGGCGCACGGUGGAUGCCUUGGCACUAGAAGCCGAUGAAGGACGUUACUAACGACGAUAUGCUUUGGGGAGCUGUAAGUAAGCUUUGAUCCAGAGAUUUCCGAAUGGGGAAACCCAGCAUGAGUUAUGUCAUGUUAUCGAUAUGUGAAUACAUAGCAUAUCAGAAGGCACACCCGGAGAACUGAAACAUCUUAGUACCCGGAGGAAGAGAAAGAAAAUUCGAUUCCCUUAGUAGCGGCGAGCGAAACGGGAAGAGCCCAAACCAAAAAGCUUGCUUGUUGGGGUUGUAGGACACUCUAUACGGAGUUACAAAGGACGACAUUAGACGAAUCAUCUGGAAAGAUGAAUCAAAGAAGGUAAUAAUCCUGUAGUCGAAAAUGUUGUCUCUCUUGAGUGGAUCCUGAGUACGACGGAGCACGUGAAAUUCCGUCGGAAUCUGGGAGGACCAUCUCCUAAGGCUAAAUACUCUCUAGUGACCGAUAGUGAACCAGUACCGUGAGGGAAAGGUGAAAAGCACCCCGGAAGGGGAGUGAAAUAGAACCUGAAACCGUGUGCUUACAAGUAGUCAGAGCCCGUUAAUGGGUGAUGGCGUGCCUUUUGUAGAAUGAACCGGCGAGUUACGAUUUGAUGCAAGGUUAAGCAGUAAAUGUGGAGCCGUAGCGAAAGCGAGUCUGAAUAGGGCGUUUAGUAUUUGGUCGUAGACCCGAAACCAGGUGAUCUACCCUUGGUCAGGUUGAAGUUCAGGUAACACUGAAUGGAGGACCGAACCGACUUACGUUGAAAAGUGAGCGGAUGAACUGAGGGUAGCGGAGAAAUUCCAAUCGAACCUGGAGAUAGCUGGUUCUCUCCGAAAUAGCUUUAGGGCUAGCCUCAAGUGAUGAUUAUUGGAGGUAGAGCACUGUUUGGACGAGGGGCCCCUCUCGGGUUACCGAAUUCAGACAAACUCCGAAUGCCAAUUAAUUUAACUUGGGAGUCAGAACAUGGGUGAUAAGGUCCGUGUUCGAAAGGGAAACAGCCCAGACCACCAGCUAAGGUCCCAAAAUAUAUGUUAAGUGGAAAAGGAUGUGGCGUUGCCCAGACAACUAGGAUGUUGGCUUAGAAGCAGCCAUCAUUUAAAGAGUGCGUAAUAGCUCACUAGUCGAGUGACACUGCGCCGAAAAUGUACCGGGGCUAAACAUAUUACCGAAGCUGUGGAUUGUCCUUUGGACAAUGGUAGGAGAGCGUUCUAAGGGCGUUGAAGCAUGAUCGUAAGGACAUGUGGAGCGCUUAGAAGUGAGAAUGCCGGUGUGAGUAGCGAAAGACGGGUGAGAAUCCCGUCCACCGAUUGACUAAGGUUUCCAGAGGAAGGCUCGUCCGCUCUGGGUUAGUCGGGUCCUAAGCUGAGGCCGACAGGCGUAGGCGAUGGAUAACAGGUUGAUAUUCCUGUACCACCUAUAAUCGUUUUAAUCGAUGGGGGGACGCAGUAGGAUAGGCGAAGCGUGCGAUUGGAUUGCACGUCUAAGCAGUAAGGCUGAGUAUUAGGCAAAUCCGGUACUCGUUAAGGCUGAGCUGUGAUGGGGAGAAGACAUUGAGUCUUCGAGUCGUUGAUUUCACACUGCCGAGAAAAGCCUCUAGAUAGAAAAUAGGUGCCCGUACCGCAAACCGACACAGGUAGUCAAGAUGAGAAUUCUAAGGUGAGCGAGCGAACUCUCGUUAAGGAACUCGGCAAAAUGACCCCGUAACUUCGGGAGAAGGGGUGCUCUUUAGGGUUAACGCCCAGAAGAGCCGCAGUGAAUAGGCCCAAGCGACUGUUUAUCAAAAACACAGGUCUCUGCUAAACCGUAAGGUGAUGUAUAGGGGCUGACGCCUGCCCGGUGCUGGAAGGUUAAGAGGAGUGGUUAGCUUCUGCGAAGCUACGAAUCGAAGCCCCAGUAAACGGCGGCCGUAACUAUAACGGUCCUAAGGUAGCGAAAUUCCUUGUCGGGUAAGUUCCGACCCGCACGAAAGGCGUAACGAUUUGGGCACUGUCUCAACGAGAGACUCGGUGAAAUCAUAGUACCUGUGAAGAUGCAGGUUACCCGCGACAGGACGGAAAGACCCCGUGGAGCUUUACUGUAGCCUGAUAUUGAAAUUCGGCACAGCUUGUACAGGAUAGGUAGGAGCCUUUGAAACGUGAGCGCUAGCUUACGUGGAGGCGCUGGUGGGAUACUACCCUAGCUGUGUUGGCUUUCUAACCCGCACCACUUAUCGUGGUGGGAGACAGUGUCAGGCGGGCAGUUUGACUGGGGCGGUCGCCUCCUAAAAGGUAACGGAGGCGCUCAAAGGUUCCCUCAGAAUGGUUGGAAAUCAUUCAUAGAGUGUAAAGGCAUAAGGGAGCUUGACUGCGAGACCUACAAGUCGAGCAGGGUCGAAAGACGGACUUAGUGAUCCGGUGGUUCCGCAUGGAAGGGCCAUCGCUCAACGGAUAAAAGCUACCCCGGGGAUAACAGGCUUAUCUCCCCCAAGAGUUCACAUCGACGGGGAGGUUUGGCACCUCGAUGUCGGCUCAUCGCAUCCUGGGGCUGUAGUCGGUCCCAAGGGUUGGGCUGUUCGCCCAUUAAAGCGGUACGCGAGCUGGGUUCAGAACGUCGUGAGACAGUUCGGUCCCUAUCCGUCGUGGGCGUAGGAAAUUUGAGAGGAGCUGUCCUUAGUACGAGAGGACCGGGAUGGACAUACCUCUGGUGUACCAGUUGUCGUGCCAACGGCAUAGCUGGGUAGCUAUGUGUGGACGGGAUAAGUGCUGAAAGCAUCUAAGCAUGAAGCCCCCCUCAAGAUGAGAUUUCCCAACUUCGGUUAUAAGAUCCCUCAAAGAUGAUGAGGUUAAUAGGUUCGAGGUGGAAGCAUGGUGACAUGUGGAGCUGACGAAUACUAAUCGAUCGAAGACUUAAUCA
rnacentral:rRNA from 1 species